AACUUUCAACAACGGAUCUCUUGGUUCUCGCAUCGAUGAAGAACGCAGCGAAAUGCGAUAAGUAGUGUGAAUUGCAGAAUUCCGUGAAUCAUCGAAUCUUUGAACGCA
rnacentral:rRNA from 1 species